AUGGUACAUACGGGGGCGUGCAUUGCAAACUUACUUGGUCAGGGAGGGUCACGCAAGUACCAUCUUACAUGCAAUUGGCUAAGAUAUUUCAAGAACGACAGGGAUAGGCGGGAUUUGAUUACGUGUGGGUGCGCGGCUGGAGUGGCCGCUGCCUUCCGCGCACCUGUUGGUGGCGUCCUGUUUGCUCUUGAGGAAGCAGCAUCAUGGUGGCGAAGUGCUCUUUUAUGGAGAGCAUUCUUUACAACUGCUGUUGUUGCUGUCGUGUUGAGGACUCUGAUUGAGUUCUGUCGCAGUGGAAAGUGUGGUCUCUUUGGGCAAGGUGGAUUGAUUAUGUUUGAUCUAAGUUCAACAGUUGCAACCUAUAGUAGUCCGGAUCUACUUGCAAUAAUUCUCCUUGGAAUAAUUGGUGGUAUAUUCGGAGGCCUCUUUAACUUUCUCUUGGAUAAAAUUCUUCGUAUUUACAGUAUUAUCAAUGAGAGAGGUGCUCCAUCCAAGAUCCUCCUCACUAUAAUAGUAUCAGUUAUCACAUCAAUGUGCUCCUAUGGCCUCCCUUGGCUUGCUUCGUGCACUCAAUGCCCCGAAGAUGCCGUGGAGCAAUGUCCUACCGUUGGUCGCUCUGGCAACUAUAAGAACUUUCAGUGCCCACCAGGGUAUUACAAUGGUAUGGCAUCACUUUUCUUCAAUACAAAUGAUGAUGCCAUACGCAAUCUUUUCAGCACUGGAACAGCGACUGAGUACCACAUGUCUAGUCUUUUCAUCUUCUUCGUUGCAAUCUAUUGCCUUGGACUUGUGACUUACGGAAUUGCCGUCCCAUCUGGUCUCUUCAUCCCUGUUAUCCUUGCUGGAGCCACAUACGGUCGAAUAGUGGGCACACUCUUGGGAUCCAUAUCAAGUCUUGACCCUGGACUUUUUGCGCUUCUUGGUGCGGCGUCUUUUCUCGGCGGAACAAUGAGAAUGACUGUGUCAGUCUGCGUGAUCCUUCUAGAACUCACCAAUGAUCUGCAAAUGCUCCCUUUGGUCAUGCUUGUUCUUCUAAUAUCGAAGACCAUAGCGGAUAGCUUUAACAAAGGGGUUUAUGAUCAGAUAGUGGUAAUGAAAGGUUUGCCGUACAUGGAGGCUCAUGCUGAACCGUACAUGAGACAUUUGGUUGCUGGUGAUGUUGUGACUGGCCCACUAAUCACCUUUUCAGGUGUUGAGAAGGUAGGCGACAUUGUUACUGCGUUGAGGAUCACGGGCCACAAUGGAUUUCCAGUGGUUGACGAGCCACCUCUAACAGAAGUGCCUGAGUUGGUUGGGCUUGUGAUCAGGUCACAUCUAUUGGUUUUGCUGAAAGGCAAGAUGUUCAUGAAGGAGCCAGUGAAAAUGAGCGGUAGCUUUGUUAUGGAAAGAUUUGGUGCCUUUGAUUUUGCUAAGGCAGGGUCAGGGAAGGGUUUAAAAAUUGAGGAUCUGCAUUUCACUGAUGAGGAGAUGCAAAUGUAUGUAGAUCUCCAUGCAAUUGCAAACACCUCGCCAUAUACAGUGGUUGAGACAAUGUCACUAGCAAAAGCUGCACUCCUAUUCCGAGAACUAGGAUUGAGACAUCUCUUGGUUGUUCCAAAGACCCCAUACAGGCCUCCCAUUGUUGGAAUUCUCACAAGGCAUGAUUUUGUGGCGGAACAUAUCCAUGACCUAUUCCCAAGUCUCAAUCCUCACAACUUUCAUUCAGCCUCAAUGGGAGGUUGA
rnacentral:rRNA from 1 species